AGGAUGCCAGGCACAGUGGCUUGGGAGGCUGAGGCAGGAAGAUAAUGAGUUCAAAGCCAGCCUCAGCAACUUAGUGAGGCCCUUAAAAAAAAAAAAAAAAAGAAAGAAAAAGGACUUGGGAAUGUGGCUCAGUGGUAGAGAUCCCCUGAGUUCAAUCCCUGGUACAAAAAAAAGAAAAAAAAAAAAGAAAGAAACUAAGGAUCAUCAGUUUGUCCCACAGAGCACAGCUUUGGUUUCAGCAUUUUUUUUUCUUUGAUUAAAAAAACUUUCAAGCCCAGCAUGAUGGUAUGCAUCUGUAGUCCCUCCUAGCUGCUCCAGAAAGUGAAGCAGGGGGAUCACUUGAGCCCAGGAGUUCAAGACCAGCCUAGGCAACACAGCAAGACACUGUCUCAAAACAAAGCCAGGCAUGGUAGAGGCCAAGACAGCAGGAUCUCAAGUUCAAAGCCAGGCUUAGCAGCUUAGCAUAGCCCUAAGCAAGUAAGCAAGACCCUAUCUCAAAAAUAAAGGGCUAGGAAUGUAGCUCAGUGGCUAAGUGCCCCUUGGGUUCAAUUCCUGGUAUCAAAUCAAAAACAAAAACAUAGAUUUGAUUGACUUUACCCAUUAAUAGUUAAAUUUUUCAAUUACUAUUUCUGUAUCCAACUCUAUUAUUAGGAUGCAAAUUGAGACCUUUUGUUGUACAUUGCUAUAUUGCUUGUAGAUAUGUGUAUUUUCUUUAGAAAUUCAUGUACUCUGUAAUUGAUAAGCUUUUCAGAAUAUCUGUUCUACAAAAAGCAGAAGAAAGCUAGGUAAAAAUAGAGGGUUGAGCACAAUAUCUGUAAGCUUCUGCUCUUUCCUGAAGUCCCUGCUACAGUGACAGGAAUAAUCCUGCAAGGACAAGGUGAAUUGAAGAGAAGAUAACAAGAACAAAAUUCUGGAAGCUGAGAAACAGGUGGAGGAGUACUGUCUGGCUUGGCCGACUGACCCAGGGAAGUCAAAUCCUAAACCAGCUGGAAACAGAGAGAAUGAUCUUGUUUGUACUACCAUUUGGGGACAUAGCCAUUGAGACACUUUUAAUAUUCAUUACUAAAAGCAUAAUACACUUUUGUAACCCAUCUAUCUUAUUUAAGGAUACAUUGAUAUUGUAUCUACAUUAUCUUAAUGACUGUAAACACGUCAUUCUAUACAUUUUAACAUUAACCAUGUCCCCAUUGUUUGGAUAUUUACAUUCC
rnacentral:lncRNA from 1 species